CCGUGGCCGGGCCCGGCGGGGGUUGGGCCUGGCCCCCGCCCCGCCGGGCGGGACGGGACGGGCUGGAGGCGGCGGCCGGGAGCGGCCCCGCCGCUUGUCGCAAGUUUCAGCCGGAGGGAAAAGUUGGGCCCGGCGUCGCGGCCCGGCGGGACUCGGCCAGAUUCCUGGAAAUCUGAGGAGCACUCUUUGGUGGCUGAAGAAUGCAGUUCUCCCUGGAGGUGUGGGUACCUCACAUGAAGGGGACUGAAGUAGGAUCAGCUGGUAUCCAAGAAACAGAAGAGAGCCCGUUUGGAUGCCACUGGUUCAUUCAGCCUGGUCAAACACCAGCGAGGAAGAAUUGCAGUGUCUGUCCUGAGCUAUCGAAGGCUGCCUGUUCUCCAGCUGCCAGGGAUCCUGUGAGUCCCAUGAGUCACAUCAAUCCUGACGUCAAUGAGAUCUUUGAAAUAGCUGUGCUGCACCAUCUCAACCAGAUAAAUUCACACAAAAACUCAGUUAGGAAAGAAGAAGCAGUGUCUGUGGUCUUGAAAUAAUGGUUUACUGGCAGUAUAUUUUACAGGGCCAGCAUAAGCUCCUAGCCUAGUCAAAUUGCAGUAUUACUGCUUGUGCAUGCUGCUCUUUCAGCUGGCAGAGGUAGGCCAAAUUUGUGAUGGCUAUAAAUCAGGGGUUGCUGCACAGCAGCUCAUUUAGACCACGUUGCAUCCUACAACUGGAUUAAUUUCCUCUCAAGAAACUGGCUGCAGUUGUGUGUCAUGUUUGAAUGAUCAGUCUGGAAAGAAACUGAGCUGAAUCUCAGAGGCUUAAGGACUAGACUGAGAGUGCUUCUCUGAUCACCUAGACAGACCAUCUUAAGUUAAUACACUCUCUUAUUACUUGUUCUGGCCUUGCCUUGGCUGUGACCUUUAACAGAGCCCUAGUACAAGACACUCCAAGAAACUGGGCCUUAGUUAAGGUCUUCAGGUUGUAAUCAUAACCCAGCAAAAAUGGAAGAGCUUCCACUGGCUUUAGUGAGCUCAGCAAACUGAUCUCUAAUGUCUAUCAUGAUCCAUGUGAAGUCUUCUCUGCAAAUUAAUUUCAGAUUUCAAUAGGAACAAAUUUACGCACAUAGACAUCUUGACUUCUGAGUGUCCAGAUAGUUAAUAAUUUCCAAUUACAUUCACUAGAGGAAAAUUAUGGAAAUCUUAUAAAUUAAAUUCACCGUCUAUAGAUACUAGAUCAGGCUUGGCAUUUAGCAAUGAGGGGCAUUACAGAAUUAAAGGAGACAAUUAAAAUUGGCCAUAGUCAGAUACUCACUGAGAAUGCCCAGUUUCUUUCAAAAAUAACCCAAGGUAACAAACACCAUUAAAACACCAGUCAGCUACAGCUGUUGCAUACAAGCCAUUGUCAUACCUGUCUGACUUUGUACACUUGCCCAGAUAUAUGUUGGUGUCCAAAUAUAUUCAGACCCUUGAUUGAACAUAUGUUAAUAAUACUGUAAGUCCCAGGUAUUUCUGCUGUAUUGCUGCCUUUCUGCAUUUCUAAAAUCAGCCUUUGAGUAGGUAUCCACUAUGAAUCCUUUUACACUAUCUUAACUAAAUUUCAUGUUACCAACCUUAUUUAUUUUGCCCUCUUCUGCCAUUUAUCAAAGUGGUUUUGUAAGCUACUCAUAUCCUCUAAGGAUGCAUAAUCUCUCCCAGCUUUAUAUCACCUUAAUAUUAGGUUGGGAAAACUUCCCACAUUGUUAAUUGACCUCUCUGGUAUCCUAUUCAAAACAUCCUCCCAAUAUUAUGAUGAAGUAUUGCAAUUACCUCAUAUUUAUUUUUUAAUAACAUUUUACAGUUAUCACAUUGAUACGUGGUAGAGUCCUGAAUUGAAUAAUUGUCACAAAACAGCCGCCCUGACUAACUGGACAUUGUGCUCAGGUGAGAGCUUCAGUUGAUACCUGUCUGGACCCUGUUCUCACAAGGAGAGCCCCUUGUUUGGUAACCACCCUGAUAAGCUGGAUGCUGUCCUUGAAAGGGGAGCCCCUCCUUUGGCAGACACCCUGACAAAUGGGACACUGUCCUUACCUGAUAAGGAACAGUGGCUGGCAAGAGGAGCCCCAUGGAGGCACAGUGACAUCUUGUGAAAGACCACUUUCCUGUUUAAGGACAGAGCACAUGCCUGAAAAUAAAGGCCAUUGCUUGGUCAA